CUGUCUAUGGGGCAGAUAUGGGGGUCUAUGGGGCGCUAUGGGGCACGUAUGGGGGUCUAUGGGGCACAUAUGGGGUCUAUGGGGCACACAUAGGGAUCUAUGGGGCACAUAUGGAGUCUAUGGGGCACAUAUGGGGGUCUAUGGGGUAGAUAUGGGGCACAUAUGGGGCACGUAUGGGGCACGUAUGGGGGUCUAUGGGGCAGAUAUGGGGCAGACCCAGCAAGUCUAUGGGGCAGCCCUAUGGGUCUGGCUAUGGGGCAGCCCCACAGAUCCCACUAUAGGUCCCACUAUGGGCAGCCCUAUGGGUCUGGCUAUGGGGCAGCCCCACAGAUCCCACUAUAGGUCCCACUAUGGGGCAGCCCUAUGGGUCUGGCUAUGGGGCAGCCCUAUGGGUCCUGCUAUGGGUCCAUCUAUGGGUCAGCCCCACAUCUCCCCCCAUUACUCCCCUAUGGGCACAUGCAAUGUGGGUCCCCGUGGGUCAUCGAAUCGAUCCAUGGGGCGGAGGCGGAGCAGCAGCGCCCCCCCAUGGACAGACACCGCCAUCAACAGCAGCGACCAGCAGCAGCCCCAUAGAGGAACCCACAGAUAGAAAGGAAGAGCAAUCGAGGCACCCAAAAAGCCAAGCCGGAUACAUUUGAAAUGGCUGCACCUAAAGGAAGGGGAGAGGGUUCAUUAGUGCCCAUUAAUUAGUUAAUUAGCGCUAAUUAAGAGCCGUUAAUUAGGCAAUCAAUGGACCCCCCCUUCCCCUCUGAAAUGAAUGAGGAGCAAUCUGAGGCCCCCCAACAAUGAAGGCCUGGAUACAUUGAAUGGCUGCACCUAAAGGAAGGGGAAGAGGGUUCAUUAGUGCCCGGUAAUUAUUAAUUAGCGCUAAUUAAGACCCAUUAAUUAGCAAUGAUUGGACCCCCCCCCCCUCUUCCAUUGAAAUGAAUGAGGAGCAAUCUGAGGCCCCAAACAAUGAAGCCUGGACACAUUGAAUGGCUGCACCUAAAGGAAGGGGAAGAGGGUUCAUUAGUGCCCGUAAUUUAGUUAAUUAGCGCUAAUUAAAAACCCAUUAAUUAGGCAAUCAAUGGGACCCCCCCCCCUUCUCCCAUUGAGAUGAAUGAAGUCUGAUGCCCCCCCCAAAGCAAAGGCCGGACACAAUUGAAUGGCUGCACCUAAAGGAAGGGGAGAGGGUUCAUUAAUACCCAGUAAUUAGUUAAUUAGUCCUAAUUAAGACCAUUAAUUAGGCAAUAUCAAUGGACCCCCCCCCCCCUUCCCCCAUUGAAAUGAAUGCAAUCUGAUGACCCCAAUAAUGAGGCCUGGAUGAGGCCCCCAACAAUGAAGCCUGGACCACAUUGAAUGGCUGCACCUAAAGGAAGGGGAGAGGGUUCAUUAGUGCCCAGUAAUUUAGUUAAUUAGCGCUAAUUAAGACCCAUUAAUUAGGCAAUCAAUGGACCCCCCCCCUCUUCCCAUUGAGAUGAAUGCAAUCUGAGGACCCCCAUAAUGGAGCCUGGAUGAGGCCCCCCAACAAUGAAGCCUGGGAUACAUUGAAUGGCUGCACCUAAAGGAAGGGGAGAGAUUCAUUAGUGCCGGUAAUUAGUUAAUUAGUCCUAAUUAAGACCCAUUAAUUAGCGAAUGAAUGGACCGCCCCCCCCCCUUCCCCCAUUGAGAUGAAUGAAGACUGAGGACCCCCCAUUGAAAUGAAUGAAGUCUGAUGCCCCCCCAAAAGCGAAGGCCGGACACAUUGAAUGGCUGCACCUAAAGGAAGGGGAGAGGGUUCAUUAGUGCCCGUAAUUAUUUAAUUAGCGCUAAUUAAGAGCCAUUAAUUAGGCAAUCAAUGGACCCCCCCCCCCUGCUCCCCCAUUGAGAUGAAUGAAGUCUGAGGACCCCCAUUGAAAUGACAUGAAGUCUGAUGCCCCCCCCAAAGCGAAGGUCGGACACAUUGAAUGGCUGCACCUAAAGGAAGGGGAAGGAUUAAUUAUACCCCAGUAAUUAGUUAAUUAGUCCUAAUUAAGACCCAUUAAUUAGGCAUUGAAUGGACCCCCCCCCCCUCUUCCCAUUGAAAUGAAUGAAGGAGCAAUCUGAGGCCCCCCCAACAAUUGAAGCCUGGACACAUUGAAUGGCUGCACCUUAAAGGAAGGGGAAAGGAUUCAUUAGUGCCGUAAUUAGUUAAUUAGCGCUAAUUAAGACCCAUUAAUUAAGGCAAUCAAUUGACCCCCCCCCCCCGUCCUCCCAUUGAAAUGAAGAAGUCUGAUGCCCCCCCAAAGCGAAGGCCGACACAUUGAAUGGCUGCACCUAAAGGAAGGGAGAGGGUUCAUUAGUGCCCAUUAAUUAGUUAAUUAGCGCUAAUUAAGACCCAUUAAUUAGGCAAUCAAUGCCCCCCCCCCCCCUCUCCAUUGAAAUAAAUGCAAUCUGAGACCCA
rnacentral:lncRNA from 1 species